AGGGCCAUGCCCCAUCAGGGAGACGUUGGCAUCUUAAAUGAAACCUACAGUGACGUGGAUUAGCGUUCAAGCAGAGAUAUCUUCAUGUUUUGUCUCUAACAUGACAUAUAACGCAAGAUGAUUCUCCAGAGCUGUGAAUAAUGAAUGGUAAACCUAACCCUAUACUCUGCUGCCAGUGGACUUCUGGCAGGUUAGGAAGUGUCAGUCAGAGAGUGAUAGAUCCAUCCUCUGGAGUUUAGGGGGAACCCAAUAUGUUGCCGCUGGAUGAUAUAAACAAGGAGAGGUUGACCGUCACCCUCAUGGAUGCUAAUCAUUGUCCAUUGGAGGGCAUGUUCCUAUUCCAAGGAUACUUCAGGAACCGUACUCUACUCUAGCAGAGCACUGUAUUCCACUGUACCACACAAUACUCUACAGGGGAUGAUUCUCCAGAGCUGUGAAUAAUGAAUGGUAAACGUAACUCUAUACUCUGCUGCCAGUGGACAUUUGCCAGGUUAGGAAGUGUCAGUCAGAGAGUGAUAGAUCCAUCCUCUGGAGUUUAGGGGGAACCCAAUAUGUUGCCCCUGGAUGAUAUAAACAAGGAGAGGUUGACCGUCACCCUCAUGGAUGCUAAUCAUUGUCCAUUGGAGGGCAUGUUCCUAUUCCAAGGAUACUUCAGGAACCGUACUCUACACUAGCAGAGCACUGUAUUCCACUGUACCACACAAUACUCUACAGGGGAUGAUUCUCCAGAGCUGUGAAUAAUGAAUGGUAAACGUAACCCUAUACUCUGCUGCCAGUGGACGUCUGGCAGGUUAGGAAGUGUCAGUCAGAGAGUGAUAGAUCCAUCCUCUGGAGUUUAGGGGGAACCCAAUAUGUUGCCCCUGGAUGAUAUAAACAAGGAGAGGUUGACCGUCACCCUCAUGGAUGCUAAUCAUUGUCCAUUGGAGGGCAUGUUCCUAUUCCAAGGAUACUUCAGGAACCGUACUCUACUCUAGCAGAGCACUGUAUUCCACUGUACCACACAAUACUCUACAGGGGAUGAUUCUCCAGAGCUGUGAAUAAUGAAUGGUAAACGUAACCCUAUACUCUGCUGCCAGUGGACGUCUGGCAGGUUAGGAAGUGUCAGUCAGAGAGUGAUAGAUCCAUCCUCUGGAGUUUAGGGGGAACCCAAUAUGUUGCCCCUGGAUGAUAUAAACAAGGAGAGGUUGACCGUCACCCUCAUGGAUGCUAAUCAUUGUCCAUUGGAGGGCAUGUUCCUAUUCCAAGGAUACUUCAGGAACCGUACUCUACUCUAGCAGAGCACUGUAUUCCACUGUACCACACAAUACUCUACAGGGGAUGAUUCUCCAGAGCUGUGAAUAAUGAAUGGUAAACGUAACUCUAUACUCUGCUGCCAGUGGACAUUUGCCAGGUUAGGAAGUGUCAGUCAGAGAGUGAUAGAUCCAUCCUCUGGAGUUUAGGGGGAACCCAAUAUGUUGCCCCUGGAUGAUAUAAACAAGGAGAGGUUGACCGUCACCCUCAUGGAUGCUAAUCAUUGUCCAUUGGAGGGCAUGUUCCUAUUCCAAGGAUACUUCAGGAACCGUACUCUACACUAGCAGAGCACUGUAUUCCACUGUACCACACAAUACUCUACAGGGGAUGAUUCUCCAGAGCUGUGAAUAAUGAAUGGUAAACGUAACCCUAUACUCUGCUGCCAGUGGACGUCUGGCAGGUUAGGAAGUGUCAGUCAGAGAGUGAUAGAUCCAUCCUCUGGAGUUUAGGGGGAACCCAAUAUGUUGCCCCUGGAUGAUAUAAACAAGGAGAGGUUGACCGUCACCCUCAUGGAUGCUAAUCAUUGUCCAUUGGAGGGCAUGUUCCUAUUCCAAGGAUACUUCAGGAACCGUACUCUACUCUAGCAGAGCACUGUAUUCCACUGUACCACACAAUACUCUACAGGGGAUGAUUCUCCAGAGCUGUGAAUAAUGAAUGGUAAACGUAACUCUAUACUCUGCUGCCAGUGGACAUUUGCCAGGUUAGGAAGUGUCAGUCAGAGAGUGAUAGAUCCAUCCUCUGGAGUUUAGGGGGAACCCAAUAUGUUGCCCCUGGAUGAUAUAAACAAGGAGAGGUUGACCGUCACCCUCAUGGAUGCUAAUCAUUGUCCAUUGGAGGGCAUGUUCCUAUUCCAAGGAUACUUCAGGAACCGUACUCUACACUAGCAGAGCACUGUAUUCCACUGUACCACACAAUACUCUACAGGGGAUGAUUCUCCAGAGCUGUGAAUAAUGAAUGGUAAACGUAACCCUAUACUCUGCUGCCAGUGGACGUCUGGCAGGUUAGGAAGUGUCAGUCAGAGAGUGAUAGAUCCAUCCUCUGGAGUUUAGGGGGAACCCAAUAUGUUGCCCCUGGAUGAUAUAAACAAGGAGAGGUUGACCGUCACCCUCAUGGAUGCUAAUCAUUGUCCAUUGGAGGGCAUGUUCCUAUUCCAAGGAUACUUCAGGAACCGUACUCUACUCUAGCAGAGCACUGUAUUCCACUGUACCACACAAUACUCUACAGGGGUCAGUACUAACUCUAUUCUACUACACCAUACACAAUACUCUACAGGGGUCAGUACUAACUCUAUUCUACUACACCAUACACAAUACUCUACAGGGGUCAGUACUAACUCUAUUCUACUACACCAUACACAAUACUCUACAGGGGUCAGUACUAACUCUAUUCUACUACACCAUACACAAUACUCUACAGGGGUCAGUACUAACUCUAUUCUACUACACCAUACACAAUACUCUACAGGGGUCAGUACUAACUCUAUUCUACUACACAAUACACUGUUGAGUCUCUCUCUAGUCUUAACUAGUCAAUAAUGGUAUUUAGCCACAUUUUCCACAUCAAGGCAACGGCAUGCUUGACUAGCCUAAUAUCUCCCCCUCACACACAAGGCCUGGUAGCUUGCCGUGAUCGUAUAAUGGUUAGUACUGCUCAUGGCAUUGCGAUUCACGGCAUGAGGGCGCUUUUUGAUUGAGUUAAACUGAGACUCAGCCAUAUGAUGUUGCCACGGGCAGCUCUGCAGAUGAGCACAAUGAUAGACUAUCACAGAGUAUCAGCCCAUGCGUAGCUUGGGGACGAGGCGGAGAAGUUUUCGCUUUGUGCUUCAAUGCUCUUAGUUGUUGCCAAAAUUGACCCGAUAUAGCUGUUCACUUUGUGACUCUGCCUUUAAACUGUAUCUGCCAACGAAACUAAAUGUAUAGUAUGGAGUACUCUAUACUGGUGAGCCCAUUGUUAUCAAUAUCUGCUUAUUUAAUGUUAUAAUUACAGAGGUAUAGUAAUUAAUUUGUCACCAGUAGUCAGUGGCACCCUUUCUACAAUCUCUGCUAAGUUCACUCUACUUAUUCAGUUUAGUUCACCGUGCUAAUUCAAAACGAGCCCUUCUGCCGUGACAUUGUGAAUUUCAAUGCCAUGAUCCGGAUUCGAAUCGGGGUUGCUGCGGCCACAACGCAGAGUACUAACCACUAUACGAUCACGGCGAGCUACCAGGGCUUGUAAACAUGGGGGUGAAAUCGAUCUACUCAAGCACUCCAUCACUGUGACGUGGCUGAGGUGGCUAAAUUCCAAAGUCUAAUGUUACACUUUGCGGCCAGUUAGAUUACAGUUAGUGCUUGUGUGUCUGUAUUGGAGAUUUUGGGUAAUUCUAGCAUGCAUUGACGUGGACAGGCAGAGCUGUCUUUUUGGCUUUCCACUCAAGGGGUCUCCCACAAGCCCUGGUAACUCGCCAUGAUCGUACAGUGGUUAGUGCUCUGUGUUGUGGCCGCAGAAUCCGGGUCACGCCAAUUUGAUACACAAUGUUACGGCAAAAAGUAUCCUUUUGAAUGACUCAAAGUACUAACUGUGUAAUCUAAAAUGUAAACACAACAUGUAAAGUGUUGGUCCCAUGUUUCAUGAGCUGAAAUAAAACA